CGUUGUCUUUAUGACAACCAGCCAAUGCUUCCGUAACCUGAGAGAAGCGCCUUCGGGUGGUUACCAGCCAAUGUUUCACCGAUCUGAGAGAAACGCCUUCGGGUGAUCAAAUUGCCUCGCAGCCUGAAAGAGGCAGCCAGUCCGCUGGCGGUACA
rnacentral:sRNA from 1 species